GACGAACGCGGGCGGCGUGCUUAAUACAUGCAAGUGGGACGCAAGGGAACACACUGUGCUUGCACACCGUGUUUUCUUGAGUCGCGAACGGGUGAGUAACGCGUAGGUAACCUGCCUAUUAGCGGGGGAUAACUAUUGGAAACGAUAGCUAAUACCGCAUAAUAUUAAUUAUUGCAUGAUAAUUGAUUGAAAGAUGCAAGCGCAUCACUAGUAGGUGGACCUGCGUUGUAUUAGCUAGUUGGUAAGGUAAGAGCUUACCAAGGCGACGAUACAUAGCCGACCUGAGAGGGUGAUCGGCCACACUGGGACCGAGACACGGCCCAGACUCCUACGGGAGGCAGCAGUAGGGAAUCUUCGGCAAUGGACGAAAGUCUGACCGAGCAACGCCGCGUGAGUGAAGAAGGUUUUCGGAUCGUAAAGCUCUGUUGUAAGUCAAGAACGUGUGUGAGAGUGGAAAGUUCACACAGUACGG
rnacentral:rRNA from 1 species